GAUGAACGCUGGCGGCGUGCCUAAUACAUGCAGGUCGAGCGAAUGGAUUAAGAGCUUGCUCUUAUGAAGUUAGCGGCGGACGGGUGAGUAACACGUGGGUAACCUGCCCAUAAGACUGGGAUAACUCCGGGAAACCGGGGCUAAUACCGGAUAACAUUUUGAACCGCAUGGUUCGAAAUUGAAAGGCGGCCUCGGCUGUCACUUAUGGAUGGACCCGCGUCGCAUUAGCUAGUUGGUGAGGUAAUGGCUCACCAAGGCAACGAUGCGUAGCCGACCUGGGAGGGUGAUCGGCCACACUGGGACUGAGACACGGCCCAGACUCCUACGGGAGGCAGCAGUAGGGAAUCUUCCGCAAUGGACGAAAGUCUGACGGAGCAACGCCGCGUGAGUGAUGAAGGCUUUCGGGUCGUAAAACUCUGUUGUUAGGGAAGAACAAGUGCUAGUUGAAUAAGCUGGCACCUUGACGGUACCUAACCAGAAAGCCACGGCUAACUACGUGCCAGCCGCCGCCGUAA
rnacentral:rRNA from 1 species